UGGGACUCGCCCUGAGAGGCGUUUCCUGGGGGCGGUGGCGGCCUCUUCCCCCGCCCUUGGCUGGUGCUCUCCCACCUGAGGCGGGCGGCUCUGACCGUGAGAGCUCCGCUUGGGUGACCAGCCUCUCUCGGGGAGGGGGCAGCGGAGCCGCCGCUCGCGAAGCUGCAGCCGGGAACGCGGCGGCGGCGGCGCUUGGGAACUUUUCUACAGGGUGUUCGCAACUUGUCUGAAAUGCGGCUGAGCUCGGGGGCGGCUGGGCUCCUCGGAUCCCCCUCUCGGGUCUGGACUGCCGGUGGCCCGGGCUGCUUCCCUGCCGGGCCGCUUCUCUGCAGCCCCGCCGGGCAGAGCAGCGGGGGCGAAUCCCAGAGGUAGGAGCAACCUGUCUGCUGGGUCUCACCUGUUGUGUUUUGGUUCCAGCCUGCCCCACGCUGUAACAAACUACUCGCAAGUGCUACUGAACAGGACGAGCUGGAGUGAGAUCUGCAGCGACUGGUACUUUAACCCACCCUCGCCUGCUUUUUGCCCCCAGCCCUGGUUUACUUUGCACUGCAUACAGGAAUUUUCAGUUUUCUGGCAGGAACAAAAACGGCAGCAGGUAGAAAGAAAUUACAGUUCCACCAGAAGUACUGAAGAUAGGAUCCAGCUGCUGAGUGUGCAACUUCAGGAAUAACCUUUUCCCCACUCCAAACUACUAGCCACAGCAACUUGCUAUUUCACAUUACCACAUGAAAAUUGUAUCCACUUCAUUGUUGAUACUUCUGUCACAGAUCAUAGAUGCAGAGAAUCUUCUCUUAAUGGCCAGGCAGUGUGGUGGUCCCUGGUUGAGUGUGCAGCUUACAUAAAUUAUAAUGGAAGUUGAAAUAGGAAGAAUUGGGCCCAACAAGCACAGCUUCGUCAGAAGUUGAGCUGGCAUGAAGUCUUGAAACACAACUGUCAAACUGAUGGUGGAUAUCCUCUGAAGAUGCCAAGCUAAAUGUUCUUGUGGACUUUCCUCUACUAUUCCUCCCCUUUCACACACCAAGAAAGGACAAAUCUUGAAUUUAAAAAAAAAAAGUGUACGAAUUUUGUGGUAUAAAAAUGUAGUGGAUAUUUUUCUUCCAUUGACUUGAUGUCUGUAUAUUUCCUGCAGUUUUAGUUAUGAAGGCUUUACUUGGCCAGCUGAUUUGUGAUUCAUUCUUGAGAGCUCUGAGUGGCAGGUACUGUAAACAUCCUACACUCUCAGCUGUGGAAAGUAAGGAAGCUGGGAGAAGGCUGUUUACUCUCUCUGCCUUGGAAAGCAGCUGGAGGGAAGAGGAUGGAGAGUAUUGCAAGUUCAAAUAUGUCUCUGCUCUGAUUGUGUUGAUUGUAAUUCUGAAAACUUGCAUUUUGUAUUUUACAUUUUGGUGUCAGUAUACAAGUAAUGGAAUUAUGUAGUGAUGUGAAAUUUUAAUGAGAAAGGAACGUGAAAGGAGGGAUGUGUUAUUAAUAUGCUUCUGUGGUGUUGCUGGUAUAUGAGAGUGCUGAGUGGUAGCAAUUAAAACAGCAUGGCACUUACAACCUGA